CUCCCGCUCCCGCUCCGCUGGCGGCCGGGGAAGUUCCCACCAAAGGAGUCAGGCCGCUUUGUGUGUGCUUUCGGGGCCACCGGCCCUGGUUCUCCUCCUCCCUCCCUGCUCGCCCUGCGCCUUGGCCCCAGACGAUCAGGCUUGCCGGAGGACGCCCCCUGGGGACCCCGAGGGCGGGGUCGUUGAACGGCCGCCAGGUUCUCACAUUCAGAAUUCUCCUGCCACCAAAGAGAACCUGAAGUUCAUUUACAAGUUGACGAGCGGGAUACCUACAUGGUGUCCCUUUGCAAGACGCCAGUUAGAAAAUAACCCAAGUUGAGCCAUCAAUGUGAUUUUGUCUUUGGGAACCCCACAUGUGAAUGAAUCACCGAAUGAAUGAAUGAAAUUUUAAUCCUUAUAACAAAGAUAAGGCUGGAUCCUAAUAUAUUGCUUUAGGAUGAUUUUCAGGAAGCUCUACAAUUCCAAGCAUUUCCUCUCACAACAAUUUAAUAAAAAUAGUUAGAGUUUAUGGAGAUAUUGUGUUCCCAUAGAUGUUGUAUGAAUUUAACUCUGCAUGUGAGAUAUUUGCUGCACUAAAAGAAAGACUUAUGGAGUCUCACUCUGUCGCCAGGCUGGAGUACAGUGGCAUGAU
rnacentral:lncRNA from 1 species